CUUAAUGCUCUGCUCAGCUAUGUUAUGUUGAUGCUCUUUAAUAUGUAUGUAUAGUCAAUAAAAUAGGUGUUUAUUUGAUUCAAAGCGGCUUUUGAAGCAGGGUAAUUAUUCAAGUGUAAAUGAUCUUGAGUGUUCCUCUCUUACUGAAAAAUUGCCAAAAGGUUGACCUCAGGCUUUUCUACUGAGAUCAAGUGAUUUUUGGCAAUUGAUGUUUUUAUCUUCUCUGAAGAAAACUGUGAAUGUGGUUUAGGACCUUCUCUUAGCUCCAGUGUUCAUUGCAUCAUGAUCCAGAUGUUGGUUCAGCUUUUGAAAUUACUUCCCGUCUUGGCACAAACUGAAGCACAGAAAGAAGAGAUCUCACCGACGAUAACUUUGAGUCUUUAAAGUCUGACAUUUUCUUCAUUUGUGCAGCUGAGAAAUUUUGUCAUUGUGCCAGGAAACAGCACAUGUUCAAGCUUCUUGCAGGAAUGCUUAUCAUGUGCCCGUACUGCUCGCAGAUUAAUCAAGGCGGCAUCCUUCCAUUUCAGCGAGAGCGAAAAGUACCAGAUUAUUAACGUGAGCUGUUUUCUGGCCUGUUUCUGCUACUACAAAACUGGACUGUGA
rnacentral:lncRNA from 1 species